UCCGUAGGCGGUCUUAUAAGUCAGUGGUGAAAUCUGGUCGCUCAACGAUCAAACUGCCAUUGAUACUGUAGGACUUGAAUUACUGUGAAGUAACUAGAAUAUGUAGUGUAGCGGUGAAAUGCUUAGAGAUUACAUGGAAUACCAAUUGCGAAGGCAGGUUACUAACAGUAUAUUGACGCUGAUGGACGAAAGCGUGGGGAGCGAACAGGAUUAGAUACCCUCGUA
rnacentral:rRNA from 1 species